UAAUACGUAGGAGGCGAACGUUAUUCGGAUUUACUGGGCGUAAAGAGAGCGUAGGCGGUUCCUUAAGUCGGGUGUGGAAUAUUCUGACUCAAUCAGAAGGCGUCAUCCGAUACUGUGGGACUUGAGAGCAGCAGAGGGAAAUGGAAUCCCCAGUGUAGCGGUGAAAUGCGUAGAUAUUGGGGAGAACACCAGUGGCGAAGGCGAUUUCCCAGGCUGUUUCUGACGCUGAGGCUCGAAAGCGUGGGGAGCAAAGCGGUUUAGAUAUCCGCGUAGUCCACGCCGUAAACGGUGGACACUAGGUAUAGGAGGUAUCGACCCUUUCUGUGUCGAAGCUAACGCUUUAAGUGUCCCGCCUGGGGAGUACGGCCGCAAGGCUA
rnacentral:rRNA from 1 species